AUAGGGUAUAUUCAGCAAUGCUACACCCUGUAAAUGCGGUCCAUUGGCCAAGUCUAAGGCAACGCCAUCGCACUAUUGAUUGGAGAUAAAUAGGAGGCAGCGAAAGUCUCGGAUGUUGCAUAUUCGAAAUACCAAAGUUUGUUCUUCAUGCGGCUAUUGAAUUUAUGCGGAUUUUUCUCGCGCUCCAAAUGGAAUUUCACACAAAUUGCGGCGUCCUGCAAUAGAGGGAGAAAAGUCAGCAUAGAAAGCAAAUCAGAAAUUGCAUUCGCACCUCUAGUGCAGGUGAUAUGCACAAAUAAAUGCAGAGAUACAAACAUGUGGGACGUGCUUCAAAACUUAUUGCCAGCUGCAGUGGCCUGUCAGUUCGAUUGCCUCGCCUCCUGAUAGUCAUGGCGCAUGCAUAACGCAUACGCAGCGUAGGCCACAGCUCUAUUAUGUGAAACACAUUCAGGCAGUGCACGCAAUGCAUGCAGUGCAUGUAAGCGAGCUGGCAGAAUUUUAAUUUUUGCAUAUUCGGCUAGCGACGCAGCACUUGACACAGCAGCAGUCGGAGUGCUGGCCAAAUAUGCAAAAAUUGAGGCUGAACGGCAGGCGGAGUGGGAACAGGACGAGGAGUAGCAACAGGUAGUGAGGAGGACGAGCAGCAAGAGUUGAAGAAGGAGAGUGCAGAUGCUGGAGCAAACGAACGAGCGAUAGGAGCGAAUGUGACAGCAAAACCCAGGAGGAGGCUAAAACCGCAGCCGGAACAAGUGCUUGUGGCCCAGGGCUUUGAUUGCGCAUACGACACGUUGCACAUUUUGUAGGCGCAUUUAUUAUGCACGUCACAGCGCCCACACAACACACAGCACAGAGCACACACAAACAACCCCCAACACACACAUACACACACACACACCAACCCACGCUUGCCUUGCUGGAAAAAGGGAAGCCGCUAUGGCAUUUACGUUUUGUGGCUGUUGCUCUCACAAAGCAAAAUAAGAUUAAUUACACGGAUCCAAAGCCAAAAAUUGAAUUAUCAGGCUAAAGAGUGGGCGAGUGUGUGGAAGCGAGCUUGUGCGGCGCAGGUGGAAAACUUUUUAAUUAGCCCCAGCAGCUGCGAGUGCCAGCUCAACUAAAUUCAUAACUUAUAUGCCGAGGACCGCUUGAAGCCUUGGGCAACGGUUGCGACUGGACGCGCAUAAAAUGUGGCCCAUAAAAUUUUGUUAAACAAAUUGACAAACUGACACUAAAGGUCAUAAAGCCGCAAAGUAUGGGAUGAGCUGGAUCUGAAGAAGUCGUAAAACCUGUGAGCCUCAAACGCAAUAUAUAUGUAUGUAUAUGAAACGUGCCAAGUCCCAGGGAUCUGUUAUCGGUACUGCAAAAGAGCAAUUACAUAUAUUGUAUGUAUGCAUGUACAUGCACAUGUGUGUGUGUGCGCUUACCCCUUGCCCAGAACCUCAUGCUCUUCUCAUUUCAUCGUGUAAUGCAGAAAGUUCGCGCUUAACGUCAAUUGUUGACGUUAAACCAAAGCGUCAGUGUGAAAUACUUUGCCAUGCCGCAUUACUCAUACUCUGCAGACGCACACACACACACACACACUCACUCAACCUUUAAGCUGCUGCUGCUGCCGUUGUUGCUGCUGCCACUUGAACUAGCAUAUCAUACACACACACACACACGCACGCUCACAUAUAUGACAAGUUGCUGGGGAGUCCUCAAGAUGCUCUCUCCCACACACACACACACACA